UACGAAGGGUGCAAGCGUUAAUCGGAAUUACUGGGCGUAAAGCGUGCGCAGGCGGUUGUGCAAGACCGAUGUGAAAUCCCCGGGCUUAACCUGGGAAUGGCAUUGGUGACUGCACGGCUAGAGUGUGUCAGAGGAGACUGGAAUUCCUGGUGUAGCAGUGAAAUGCGUAGAUAUCAGGAGGAACACCGAUGGCGAAGGCAGGUCUCUGGGCUGACACUGACGCUCAUGCACGAAAGCGUGGGGAGCAAACAGG
rnacentral:rRNA from 1 species